GGGAAAAGCCAUAUUCACAAGAUUACAAUAAGUGAGUUUUAGGCCUUGGCCUUCAGGGUCCUGGAGUGUAAAGACUAGAGGAAAGGAGACCAAGAAAUCCUAACCUUACAACUUAGCAAAAAACUGAAUCUUUUUUAUAAGGGUCAGAGCUUUAGAAAAUUUUUUUAAACCUAAGCUAAACAAAGAAUGGCAAAAGAAAAUGCCACUUUUAUCGAAGCCUUUAUUUUUAUUGCAACUGAUUAUUUUCUGUUAGUGUAGAAAACUCAGUAAAACAGGAUGUGUUCUAGAAAUAUUGUCUAGGAGAUAUAAUCAUGUUUUCUGAUAAAUUGACAGAAAAGGAAAAAUUUUGUAUAUUAUUAUAGCAUUGUGUGCAGUUUGCAGUUAGAGCCACUAUGGAUAGUAAUUGUCAUUAUUCUUAGUUGCUUAUCAUUUUAUUUAGAAUUUGUGAGUUUAAGCUUCCAUUUUAAGGUGAAAUCAGUUAGUUUGAACACACAAUAAAUAAGGUUAAUAAAGCUUAUUUAUUGAUCAUUUCUGUCCACCUACAAUCAUUGCCUUUUGCAGGGUGCCUGUGAGAUACAAAAUUUAUAAUUGCCACAUCCUUAGGAAUUUUUAAAUUUCUGUUUUCUUGUAAUAUGAAUAUGACUAAUGUAUUGAACAUUAGUUAUGGAGUAUUUUUCUUAGCUACUUGAUAUUAGAUAUUGAUCAGUGGAAUAAAGUUAUUGAACAGCUUGGAACACCAUGUCCUGAAUUCAUGAAGAAACUGCAACCAACAGUAAGGACUUACGUUGAAAACAGACCUAAAUAUGCUGGAUAUAGCUUUGAGAAACUCUUCCCUGAUGUCCUUUUCCCAGCUGACUCAGAACACAACAAACUUAAAGGUACUUUUUACAAAUAUGUACAUUUAAUCCCAUUUGGGGUGUGUAGUGUGUGUGUAUGGGUUUGUGUGUUUAUAUGUAUUCAUAUUCUUAUGGGACAUGAACCCAAGGUUUUCUCUGGAUGGUGGGGAAAAAAAUGAGGUUUUUGUUUUUUUUUUCUUUAAUUUUAUAUAUUUUAAUCAUAUGUAUAAGAUAAUUUUACAGUAAUAUUUUUAAAACAUAUGCUUUUUAAAAAAUCUCAAAUUAUUAAUAAUUUGAGAAUCUUUACAAAUAUAUGUACAUUAACAUCAUUAUGUUUGCAGCCAGUCAGGCAAGGGAUUUGUUAUCCAAAAUGCUGGUAAUAGAUGCAUCUAAAAGGAUCUCUGUAGAUGAAGCUCUCCAACACCCGUACAUCAAUGUCUGGUAUGAUCCUUCUGAAGCAGAAGCUGUAAGUUAUUUUCUUAAUGUUUACAGAACAUAUUGCAUUCUUAGAGUUAGAAUGACAAUUAGGUUUGGAGGAGACCUUUUAAUUUUAAAUAAAAAUGUAGAUACAUGAUGAUGAUGUUUUUCUGUUUCUUCAUGAAGACUACGUCAAAUAAACUAAUGAACAUAUUCGAGCCCCUCCUACACAAAAUAAAGUUACCUCCCACUGUUUUUUGCAAUCUUGCCUGGAUACCUAACCAGAGAACUAGGAUGUUGAAUGCUCUGGGGGACCAUCCUAACUCAGGUAUAAAACAAAUUACUGUAUCCAAAGGAAGACAGAAUUCUAUGAUCUGUGAUAUAAAUAAAAUGUGGCAAUUUCAAGAGCUAGAAGAAAAGAAAAAAGACAGUUAAACAUUUUAUUUCCUGCAAUGAAGGAGUCUUCCUAAACUAUUAUGUCUGUAUAAGUAAGUUGAUGAUUGAUCAGUCUUGAUCUAAUGAUAUAUUUUUAUAAGUCAUCUGUCUGGCUAAUAUUUCAAAUAACUACAAAGAGUUAAAAUACUCCCAGCAUACUGACUUGGUUAUUAUUGCCUUGUGUUUUUCAGCCACCACCAAAGAUCCCUGACAAGCAGUUAGAUGAAAGGGAACACACAAUAGAAGAGUGGAAAGAAUUGAUAUAUAAGGAAGUUAUGGACUUGGAGGAGAGAACCAAGAAUGGAGUUAUACGGGGGCAGCCCUCUCCUUUAGCACAGGUGCAGCAGUGAUCAAUGGCUCUCAGCAUCCAUCGUCAUCGUCGUCUGUCAAUGAUGUGUCUUCAAUGUCAACAGAUCCGACUUUGGCCUCUGAUACAGACAGCAGUCUAGAAGCAUCAGCUGGGCCUCUGGGCUGCUGUAGAUGACUACUUGGGCCGUGGGGGGGUGGGAGGGAUGGGGAGUCGGUUAGUCAUUGAUAGAACUACUUUGAAAACAAUUCAGUGGUCUUAUUUUUGGGUGAUUUUUCAAAAAAUGUAGAAUUCAUUUUGUAGUAAAGUAGUUUAUUUUUUUUAAUUUCAAGUGAUGUAAUUUAAAACCUAAGUUGUGUUUCAAAACAGCAACAAAACUGUAUUGUAUUUUUUUGCUGUAAUUAACUGUAUAAUGUAAACCUAAUUAUUUUAUCAUGGUUUAAAUUUUUUGCAUAUUUGCUUUAUCUUAUGCUGCUGAUUUUUUUUAACUGAAUUUGUAAGAUUUUGUUUAUCAAAGCAACUAUUAUGUGGUGACUUGCCUAUAUCAUGAAUUAUUUAAGAUUUUUAUAGUUUUUUUUAAUUAGAAUUUAUUUCAGAUGUUUUGUUCAUGAUACUAUCCUUCAGGGUUAUGUGCUUAUCAAUGAAAUAACCCCAGAGGAGUGAGGGAAAAUAACUUGUAGCCAGUUAUAUUCAGGAAUAACUACUGUAAAUGAUGAACGUGUUAGGAGACCUCCAAUAUUUGCUACUUGCCAAUCCUAAUUUAGUUACAAGAAUUGGUAGGCAAUGCUACUUAAUUUUGGCAAAAGCCCCGUCAUCUAAAUGGCAGAAUAACUCAGAGCAUGUCUUUGAAGAUGCUGGGCGUCUACCACCACCUUAUGUCCCCACCCUACCCAACAAAAAUAAGUAAAAAGGAUAUGGUGUAUUCUACAAAUUUGUGGCAUGCUCAAAGUUUAUGAUCACAUAAAGUCAAGAGGAUACUUCAUGAAUAAUACAUUUCAAUGCAAAUAAACAGAUGGUUCACUUCUACUAGCUAUGAGCCUGUUUUUGUAUACACUGAGUUAAUCUACUCAGGCUGUAGGUCCCAGCAAUGUUCUAGAGUCCGGUCUUUCCCUUUCCUGCAGCUUCGGGUCCUUGGACCUUUCCUGUUUCCUAUUACUUGGAGUAUCUGUCAGUUGAGCACCAGUUGUUCUGGUGUUUCAUUUGAUUCUACUUGUAGCAUAAUCAUUUAUACGAGCUAUUGGGAGGUUCCAAACCCUGCCUAGAUUUGUGUAGGUGAUGUAUCAAAUGAGCAAUAUACCGUUCAUCUGAAAAUAGUAGCACACAGCCAUAUAUAGGAUAUCAUUUUCUAAGGACUGUUUCUUCACAUUGAGCAGAGCAGGCAUAAAUGGUGGUUAUUUAGUCUAAGUCUUUUAUUUUUUUAUACCUGAUUUUCAACAUAACACGCAAUGUGGAUGUCGAGUAGUGUUAAGAAUGGUGCUGCUCCUGACAAGUGUAUGUUAACUGUUUACAUUUUCUAUCUGCAGAAUUAUUUCUCUAUUACUGAACUUUUCCUAAGUAAAAUGUCUUUGAAGUCUCGUUAUUUCUGAAA
rnacentral:sRNA from 1 species